rnacentral:rRNA from 1 species
UAGGGAAUCUUCCGCAAUGGACGCAAGUCUGACGGAGCAACGCCGCGUGAGUGAAGAAGGAUUUCGGUUCGUAAAACUCUGUUGUUAGAGAAGAACAGCGCAUAGAGUAACUGUUAUGCGUGUGACGGUAUCUAACCAGAAAGCCACGGCUAACUACGUGCCAGCAGCCGCGGUAAUACGUAGGUGGCAAGCGUUAUCCGGAAUUAUUGGGCGUAAAGCGCGCGUAGGCGGUUUUUUAAGUCUGAUGUGAAAGCCCACGGCUCAACCGUGGAGGGUCAUUGGAAACUGGAAAACUUGAGUGCAGAAGAGGAAAGUGGAAUUCCAUGUGUAGCGGUGAAAUGCGCAGAGAUAUGGAGGAACACCAGUGGCGAAGGCGACUUUCUGGUCUGUAACUGACGCGGAUGUGCGAAAGCGUGGGGAUCAAACAGG